rnacentral:lncRNA from 13 species
GCUACUUUUUGUUUUCUGAGUAGAGUUGGGUUUUGCCAUGUUGGCCAGGCAGGUCUCGAACUCCUGACUUCAAGCAAUCUGCCUGCCUUGAACUCCCAAAGUACUGGAAUUACAGGUAAACAUGUUCACUUCAAAUCUCUUCCCAUGGGAAGGAAACCUACGUCCAUGAAGAAGUUGUAUCCACAGGGUGGAAGACAGUUUCAUGGAAUUCUCAUCAUUUGCAUAGCUUUAAAAAAACACCAGAAAAGAACUAUGUCUCACUAUCACAGAAGAUACUAAAUGGAGCUUUUAUUUGAAGACUAUAUUAAGAGGAAUCUUGAUGGAAACUGUAUUGUCAUCACUCCUCAAUUCAUAGUUCCUAGAAACAAUGUCAGCUGUGGAAAGUUUGUGAAGAUUCACUCCCAUCUCUUCAGAGAGGUCCUUGAAGUGGCCAGCCCUAGCAAGAUAGGUUUGGGAUCCUCGCUGGACGAGAUUCCUGGGCUCGCGUUCAGUUCACAACAGCUGGCGGCUGAUGUUCUUGAGGAUGGUCCAAGUAAUGGUGUUUUUGGAGUAAUCCAGGCCAUCUUAAAGAGAAUUGUAUCCUUUUUUUUUGUACACAAACAUUAG